UACAGAGGGUGCGAGCGUUAAUCGGAAUUACUGGGCGUAAAGCGCGCGUAGGCGGUUUGUUAAGUCGGAUGUGAAAUCCCCCGGGCUCAACCUGGAAUUGCAUUCGAUACUGGCAAGCUAGAGUAUGGGAGAGGAAGGUAGAAUUCCAGGUGUAGCGGUGAAAUGCGUAGAGAUCUGGAGGAAUACCGAUGGCGAAGGCAGCCUUCUGGCCUAAUACUGACGCUGAGGUGCGAAAGCAUGGGGAGCAAACAGGAUUAGAUACCCCCGUAGUCC
rnacentral:rRNA from 1 species